UUGAGGAAGUAAAAGUCGUAACAAGGUCUCCGUUGGUGAACCAGCGGAGGGAUCAUUA
rnacentral:rRNA from 2 species